UGAUGCAUUGACAAAUGUUAAAGUGUGUCCACUGUGUCAUCUCUGUAUCCAAUUACAGCCCUGAGCAGGGUCAAGAUAGAGAAAUACCAAAAGCCCAUCACCCUCCUCCAGGACAUUGUCCAGCUGUUCAGCAGGAUGAAGAUACACUUACAUAUUUUAGGGUGAAAAUUGGAUUUGCUCAUCCAAUCCCAUCACUCUGCACUGAAUGCUGCAAUCUGAUUCGCUGGUGCCUGCAGUACAACCCAACAAGGAGGGAUCAUUUGCAGCAGAUCAAGCUGCAUGAUUGCAGCAGGUUAUGAAAUUGUAGCAGGUGCUACCCCAGGCUCAAGGAGGACACUGGAGACAGGGUUCAGGGUUGCAGCAGCCAUUACUUAAAUUUCAUCCGAAUAAACACCCAAAGUGAACACAAGCGAAGGAACGCCACGCUGGCCACUUUUCAGUGGCUAAAACUUUCUUCACUGAGCUUUUCAGCUCUUUCAGUCUUUUGCUGCUGCUCUUUUUAAAGGCGCACCCGAGCCGAGAAGGACUUAGACCCCGCCGCUCCGCCUCCUCGCUACUGGGGCGAGGCCGCAGCUCGGGACUCGCUCCUUGUUCUGGUGCCCCUCGUGGCCGGUGUUGUGCCGAAUUCCGACUCCCCGGCAGAAUCCGACUCCCCCUCGCGUGCAUGCGCUUCACGUAAACUCGUGGACGUUACGGAUUAUUAAGGUUAUUUCUGUGUGUAAAUGACGCUUCAUCUUUCAUUUCCAUUCACAGCAAACAACACAAGAGGAUCUAAAGCCAAAUAAAGACUCUCACCGUGAUGCUUUAGAAACGGUUGUUGUUGGAGUAUUUAAGAACUGCUGGGACUGAAUGGCUUUCGGUUAUAACGAUAAGUAUUACGACAUAUUAAACACAGCUUUAAACCUCUGUUUGGAGCAAUAAAGUUCACAUCUGAUCGCCUGGCGUUGCAGUAUUAGCUGACGCUUUUUCUCGUCAUUAUUCAGCAACCAGACUUUCGUUGCUUUCAUAGCUGGGACAAAAUGAGCAAAUUAGUUUACAGUACUGCAUAAAAGAGUUGCCAAUAAUCAAAAAUAUUCAGUAAUAACUGUAGUUGUAAUGGUAGAAAUGUAGGAUUAAUUUUGGUUGAAAAGUCAGCAGCUUUUACAUAGUCAGAAGGUGAACCUGUCAUAAUUAUGUCCCUCUCAUCUCUGGGGUCGCAUUAUGACUGGAAUGACUAACUGGUUCUGCUGACUUCUGGGUCAUAGAUUACAGCAUAUCAUGUGUCUUUAAAUUCAGCAGGGGGGAUUUUACUGGGGGGAGUAGAAUUUUGGCAGUAUUAUUUUGACACCUGCUGAAAUUAUACUCCCCAUCUGAUCUUAGCACUACAAAGUCUGAAUGACAUGUCUUUCAUGUUGCUAGCAUGUCCUGGCAGACAUGUGAGGACACGCGACAGGGAAUGAACCUUUAGAACAACUGGAUACACAUGCGAGAGUGAAACUACUUGAGAGAGACUGAAAACUGAAAUUAGAGGUUGUUUGCCAAGGGCUUUUUAUUUUAGCGACAAUAGGCCUUCUGCUAAUUAUGUUCAUGUGUCAUGUUAGGUGCUUCAUAGGGUUUUCCUCCCUUGCGAAUUUCGAAGAGAAGGAUCUAGAAGCAGAGAGAAGUCAAGAGGCUUUCCAGUUGUAGACAUAGAUAGAUACAUAGAACCAUUUCCUUUACUAAAGAACCAUUGAAGAACCCUCUUCCAUCCUGUUUAUGGUGUAUGGAUUCAAAACAAAAAUAGACUGAACUGAUACAUACCAGCAAGUCCAAUAACCUUUGUUGUUGGAACGCUUGAAUACUGAUGUUUGUAGCUGUCAGCAGAAACGUGAACCAGUGGGAGAGAAAUGCUUUAGU